GGCGGCCCGCAAGGGUCAGUCGAGCGGCGAACGGGUGAGUAACGCGUGGAUGACCUGCCCUUUAGUGGGGAACAACCAGGGGAAACUCUGGCUAAUACCGCAUAAGACCGUGAGGUGAAAGGGGGCUCGCAAGGGCUCUCGCUGAAGGAGGGGUCCGCGUCCGAUUAGCUAGUUGGUAGGGUAAUGGCCUACCAAGGCGACGAUCGGUAGCCGGCCUGAGAGGGUGAUCGGCCACACUGGAACUGAGACACGGUCCAGACUCCUACGGGAGGCAGCAGUGGGGAAUUUUGCGCAAUGGGCUAACGCCUGACGCAGCAACGCCGCGUGGAGGAUGAAGGUCUUUGGAUUGUAAACUCCUGUCAGCGGGGAAAAAGCGACCGGUGCUCAUACCACCGGGAGUUGAUUGUACCCGCAGAGGAAGCCCCGGCUAACUCUGUGCCAGCAGCCGCGGUAAUACAGAGGGGGCAAGCGUUAUUCGGAAUUAUUGGGCGUAAAGGGCGCGUAGGCGGCUUCGCAAGUGGAAGGUGAAAUCCCUCGGCUUAACCGAGGAACUGCCCUCCAAACUGCGUUGCUUGAGGCCGGGAGAGGUGAGUGGAAUUCCCAGUGUAGCGGUGAAAUGCGUAGAUAUUGGGAGGAACACCAGUGGCGAAGGCGGCUCACUGGACCGGUUCUGACGCUGAUGCGCGAAAGCGUGGGGAGCAAACGGGAUUAGAUACCCCGGUAGUCCACGCCGUAAACGAUGAGUGCUUGGUGUAGCGGGUAUCGACCCCUGCUGUGCCGAAGUCAACACAUUAAGCACU
rnacentral:rRNA from 1 species